AAGGCGGGAAGCGGCAGCUCCUGAGGGCGGCGGUGGGCGAGGAUUUUGGGGGGAUUUGAGGCGAUUUUGGGGCAUUUUGCGGGAUUUUUGGGAUCCCUCAUGAGCCUCUCACCCCUACCAGGCCCCAGGCACGCGUCCAGAGCCGUGAUGGCCGCCAAGGUGAAGGUGGAGAAACCAGGACCCUCAAAACUUCAUAUGGAAAUCAUGAUGGUAAUGGAGACAAGGAUGUCUAUGCUGUGCCAUCAGGAACAUAAAAAAACAUUAGAAUGCAGGUGAGACUGAGCUCCUGAACUAGUGAGAAGAGAAUGCAACAAAGACAUUUUUUUUAAGAGUCUUCAGGAUGAAGAGCAGAUCAAAUUUUUUAAUGUGAAAUAUUUAUUAAUAGAAUGAACCUUCAAAAUAACAUUGUUUUCAAAAACCUGUUUACAGUAUGUCUUAGAACGAUACAUAGUUCUUAUUAAUAGAAAAAGAAAAGCACUUUUUUCCAAACUGUUGUGCACUCUUAAGCAAUCUACAAUAAAAACAGUAUUUUUUCAUGCUGGGAAUGAUGUUGAUUACAAAAAAGCCUUCUAGCCCACUUGGCACGUAGUUUCUUGAUUAGCAUAGUUUUUUAUUGUGGUGGUUUGACAGGGAAUGGGAUUUCUGGGAUGCUGCUGUCAGGCCAAUGGGUGCUCAGAUUUUAAUAUUGUUACCUGGUUUGGCCAUUGGGACAUUGGAUCCGCCUCUGAGAACACAGGGUUAAAAGCAGGGCUCUCGCCUGGGAGGGUCUCUUUGGAUUUCCGGUGAGAAGGGUUCGGGUCUCUGCCCCGGUCCAGCUGCUGGAUGGGCGGGGGAGGGGAAAGCCAUGCGGCCUGGGAGAGGUGGGCCUGACCCUGAGGGGCCCAAGGGUGGAAGCAUGGAAGAAGUACUGAGAGGUAUUCCCCCAAUCCCCCGCUUCUGGGAGACAGAGAGAGAGACAGAGCCGUGCCUGGGACUGUUGUCUUGGAAUCUGAUAUCGUGUGCUGCCGGCACAGCACAGCCUGCGGAGAAGAGGGGGGGGGCAGCGAGGAGUCCAGCCGCUGGCAGGAGCAUUUAACCCUUUUGUGGAGAAUGAAAUCUUUACAGAGCAUUGACAUUUCCUAGAGGGGAGAUGCAGUGGAGGAUGAAAAAGAAACUGAGCAAGUGAGAUGGAGGUCUGAGCAAGGGAGAGAUAUGAAAAGAAUAGAACCUUGAAGAACCUUGAGUGGGAAGGGAUGAUGGAGUGGCUCUUACACUGGACUCUUUUUGUAUAGCCAUGGAGAGAACUGUGUUUCCUUGGGAUACAGGGACUGCAUCCGGGGGGGCAAUGCCCCAGAGCCAAGAGGGUUCGGUGUUGGUGCCCCUUGGCCCCAGAGGGAAUAAUUUGGGGGGGACAGAUGUCCCAAAGUUGAGACCGUGCCUUUUUGGAUUGGGACAAUGCAUCCUUAAAAGACAACCCUAGAAGCAGCUCUGGUCCGUGUUCAGUGGUGAGAGCACUGGACAUGAAAAGGAAGAGGUAACCAUGGCCACAAGAAGGACUCCUCUCCCCCUGAUGAACUGAGGAUUGAGUAUUCUAAAGGGUGGUGCUGGACUGAGAGUCGAUGAUUUGGGGAAUGGAUUGUAUUGGAAAUUUGGUGGGGAGGAGAGGGAGAUGUAUUUGUGACGUUUUCAUUUUCCUUGUGUGUUUCUCUUUUCUUUUUUUUUUUCUUGUAGUUUAGUCAAUAAAGUUUUUUCUAAGUAGAAGCUGCUUUGCUUAUUCCUGGUCACAUCUCACAGCAGACACCAGGGAGAGGGUAUUCUCAUGGGGGCACUGGCAUUGUCCCAGUGUCAAACCAUGACAUUUAUUCAUCAAGCAAGUUUCACAUUGACUAUUUUUCAUCUUUAAAUAAUGGCAUCUUUGUACUUAUGCAGCAUCCAUGAAGAAUUUCUUGGAUGUUAUUUUGUACCUGAUCCUAAAUGCCAGGUUCUGCAUUCUGCCAUCUGUCUAGCUUUCCCAUUUGAUGCAACUUCUGAGAGGUAUUUUCAGAAUUGAGGACUACCUGCAAGAAUGAUGCUAAAUGCAUGCAUUUUACUCCUUGGUUAAUGCAAAACUAUUUUUCCUUUAUAGCACAAUAAGAACAGGAAAAUAAUGAUGGUGGAUUCAAUCCUUGUAGUAAUACAAAGAGGACUAUUAUCAUCAUUAGAAAUCAAGCAAGUUGUAUUUAUUGCAUAUGCAGUACAACCACUAAUGCAAAUUACCCUGUAAAUUCAAUAGGAAUCUGUAUCAUAGGAGUGGAUUGAAUGUUUCUAUUGAUAUUUUGCUUAAAGCAGAAAGUUGAUUCUUUUGACAGGCAACUGAUAAUUGCAACCUCACUUUCAACUACGGCUUUCAAACAGUUGAAACAUGUCUGUUUAUAAAAUGAUACGGUACAGUACACAAUAGCAAAUCAGGUCAUAGACAUUCAAAAGAAAAAAAAGAUCAAAGGACAGAUUCAUUCACAUCUGCAAGCCCUCAAGAGUGUACAGGUCAAAUGUCCCCAGAAAACUAGGCUGGUGGUGCAAACUCUCUCUGUUGGCACCAGCAGAAGCAGCUGCUAUCUUUAUAGGAUACAAUCUUGCUUACAUUGCCCUUCAGAGCAAUCUUCUGUACCCCUGGCCAAUACACCUGCUCUAUUCCUUGGACUUCACGUUUGCUUUUCUACAGAGUCUUGUCCUGCCAACUGACUCAAAGUUCAGGUAAUAGAUUUCCAAGAUUUAGAAAUGCCGAGUUAAGUUUAUUUAUCUUAUAUUUCAUUCCGUCUAAGCAAACUGUAACUUCCUGAAGUGAAAUAUGUUGAGUAUGUCAUGUGUAUUUUGCAUCUUAGUUCUGCUUCAUAUUAAACUUCUCACAGACUCCUGUGAUGCCUUACUGCAAAAAUAUAUAUGCACAAAGAGUGGUUGUGGGAAGUUGGAAGUGCCAGAAAACCAUGUAAACAAUCUAAAAAUAGAGCUUUGAAUUUCUGAAUAUAAUUGCACCAUGUAAAGUCAAAAUAUAAUAUUUAAAUGAUUUUCAUGUAAUGAUGAAUGUGGGGUAGAGAGAAUCCAGAUAGAAUUAAUUUUUUUAACAGUUCCAGGAAAAACAUGGCCUUGACUUGGAAGUAUAGCAUUAAAUAUUUUAUACAGCAUGAGUUCUCAUUACCUAAUCAUAUGAUUUGUAGAACUGAAUUGGAAACCAGGAAAUAAAGAAAAAUAUUCAAGCUAUAAAAGAUAUAAGUUUAAAAUUUUCUUUGUAUUUCUGGUUAAAACUAUUAGGUAGCUAAAUGGUCACUCAUUAUUUUAAAAAGCAUCUGGACAUUAAAAAUAGAUAAAUUUCUGUGGGACUUGGAUGUCAGCUAUUCCUGAAAAGCUUUAUUUCACUGCUUCCCAACCCUGAAUCAAUCCACUUAAACACAGUUGUAUUUCAGAUGCUCAGUGAAACUGUCCAUGUAAUGCAUAUAGUUGACAAAUAAUCUGCAGAAAAAGCUAGAUCGAUUUGAAGGUUUUUCCUGUAAAUGGCAUUCAAAUUAUUUGUACAAACACACAGAUGGGAUUUCUGCUGUCUUAUUCAGGCCACUUCCUCCAAAAAGCUCUCCAUCAAAUCUCUCUAGUUCUAUUCUUCUGGUGAUCCAAAGACAGCACUGGGAUGGUCCAACUGCAUGGAAUUACUGUCUUCUAGAGAUGCACCCUGAGGGCUUCUGUGUGCAGCAUCACGUGAGCCCUACUAAUGUCACCCUGUUGGUAUAAACUGAGCUAGCUGGACCUUAAGGGACAAGAUUGUGCACUGAUUUUGUAAUAGAAAUCAAGUACUAAGAAGGAGGCUGGAGGAUUUAAAUACUUCUGCCUCCAGCUUAAGCAAUACUAAAUCUUGGUCUUUAUCUGAAAAACUAGGUGAAUUAACCCAUUCAGCAUUCCUAUGCCAAAAAUGUCAGUAAUACAAUAAGAACCGUCAAAAGAGUAACAAUUCCAAUCAUUACUUUAUAAAAAUAAUUCAUUGGGAGAAGUCGGGAAGAAGGAUGCAACAUGCCAAUAUCCUCCCCUGAGAAUCAUUCUGUUGAUUUGCACAGGUUUCUUAUUAUAUUCCCAUCUAAUGCAUUGGACAUGCAUGCUUGUGAUGACACAAAUACUUGCAAAACUUACCAGAUAAACCAUGUUCUCUCCAGACAGCAAAACAUUUCUUGAUGGUUGUAUUAGCAAUAAUUACAUUUAGACUCAAUGUUCUUAAAGGUCUUUUCCAACCAAAGUGAUUCCGUCAUUCUCUAAGUCACACAUCCUGCUUGUCCUGGUUUAGGGCAAAUUUGGCAGCAAACCUCAAGAAGGGGUGGUUUAUUAAAAACAUUGAUCUAGUACUGAUGUCCAGCGGUGACAAAGACUCUCUAACAGUUUAAAGUUCGAAAGUGUAUGUUUAUUGCAAUGCCGGGCAGUGUGUGGGAUAGCUCCCAAAUACACACUGUGAUUUACAGGUGAUGACAGAGUCCUUUUAUCUAUACAAGUAUUGAAUACCCAAAAUACAAAUACAUAUUCAUAAUUUUGGUACAUCCCACUCCCCACUUCAUAUGGUAACUAGUUCAAAAGCUAUUAAGCAUGAGUAGUUUGUUCCUCAAAAUGAGUCAGUGGUCCCUUUUAUGGGGAGGGGUCCCAAAAUGAGGAAAUGAAUGAAAUCUUCCUCGUUCUGAACUUUCUACAAUUUCAAUGCAAAUAUGACAAAUGAACCCAUUGGUAGAACUCCCAUUCCCCAUCUUCACUGGUUUCAGAACAGAGGAGGCCUACAAUUGUCUUAUGUUCCUAAAAACUAUUUAUCAGUUUCUAUAUUCUUCAUUAUAAACCCAGUAAUCAAACAUUAUGUUGACAAGCAAUCAAUUAUCAGUUAACUACUAACUCUUAACUUCAUCAAGGCCUACUUAUUUAUUUUGAUAAACUCUAAUAAGGCUUAUCUCUAACUAAAACCUGAGCUCCUCUGAAAUCCCUAAAUCCUUAAAGUUUGUGUCUCAGGGGGCCCCCCCCAGAAAGCCCACCCACAUGGCCCCUCCCCUCAACUGGUUUGGGAAAAAUUUCCUCUGAGAGAAGUGGAAAAACCUGUUUAUUUAACAGGCAAAGCACUUCCCAGCACAAAAAAUGAACAAUACCAGAUGACAAAACUCAAUUGCUGCUCUGAAGAGACGACAAAUUCCAAAAGUCUCCCCUGUGGAUGCUCUCUCUGUUAUCAAUCCCUCCAGCACUGGGAAAGGCUGCUGCCCAGAGUAGGCCCCCAAAGGCCAAAAAGUGCAAGCUCUCAGUGUUCCCCAGGUCCCAGUCUGGAGCAGGUUUGAACAGUUCCAAGAAAAGGGAAAGAAAAAAAGACAGUCCAGGGAAAACUCUGCCUCAGCCAGCUAAACCAACUGAAAAGCAAAGAAGCACUCUGUUCUGCUCCGUCAAUGCCUGAACAACACAAUGUAGCUCAGAAUGUGGAGGAGUGUUGCUUUUAGAAGAGUGAGUGCAGUCUCUGGUAACAAACUCCGUGCUUCUUCUUCUCCCCACCUUUGCUCUCAGAACCAGUCUUGAAGGCAGAGAAUAUAAUAUCCAGCAUUAACAGAACAGAUGACUGGGGAUACAAGCACCAUAAAGUCACCCUAGGACACUGCUCUACUGAGAUAUGUCACCAGACUAUGCUAAGACAAAGUUUUGAAACUGCUAAUUAAAAUUCUACUAUCAUAGUGAAGCUGAGGAGGAAACACAUCUCGCUACAGUUACCUUGUGGCAUGCCAAUACUUCCUUUCAAUCACAAUAUUUUUUUGGUUUUAAGUCCGUGACAUCAUAGGCAUAAUUCAACAUCUUCUGGGCAGGAAGGAAGAUAUUAUUCUCAUUAUACUGAUGGGUAAGCUGAAAUGCAAAGCAGUUAAUUCAAAGUGAAAGAGCGAUAAAGUCAAUAGUAAAACUCACUACAGUUUUGUUUACUACCCUAAAUCCUUACAAUCCCAAAAUACAAGAAUAGCUGUAAAAGCCUUGUGGCUACUUAAUUUUUUCCUAUACCUACAUGGGAAGGUAAUGGAUAAAUGAUCCCAAACAAUGGUAAUCCACAACAAAGCAUUUUUGAGAUCAUAUUCAGCUUUUGUAUAGCAAGCUGUGAGAGUCUGUCGGAAUUUUCCCUCAUCUGCCUCACGAUUGUCCUUGGGAGCCCACUGAAGAGAAGACCCCUCUUGUCUAUAUCUGGCUCUGAAGGAGAACAGUCACACACCAUGGGCCCCGAGACCUGAAAGCUCAGUGUUAAGCUAUUAUUUUCACAAGUGUGUUUGCUGUAUGCUAAGAAGAGGGCACCAUGCCCCAUUUGCAACAAUAGCAGCUCUGGAAGCUGUCCCACCUCUCGGCCUGGCUGGACUUCUCCUGAGUUCCAGGUGGUCUCCCACAGAAGACCCUCACCUGUUUUACAACCACCGUGACAGACAGACGGAGAUGUGAGAAGCUUUUCCAUCAAGGACUGAGACAUGAAACUCCUAAAAGGCCCCUGUGCUCCUUUGAAGGACUGGGACUGAAACCCCAGCCCGGGGGAGGUGUGUGGGGAGGCAAGCUGACUGAAGCGAGAUGUUUGCCUGCAGGUUGUGACCACUGGAGCAAGAAAACAAUGGCUCUCGCUUACUGCUGAGAACAUAGACUACUUAUUACAUCUAUCAAGCUCAUUUACUGCUGACUACCUGUUAUAAAAACCUCUGAGGUAUCUAGAGCCUUUGAGAUCUCCCCAGCGUAGCAGGCGGAGACUUCGACUGGACUGGACCAAAGAACUUCGUCUCUGCAUUGGUAGCUAUAUCCCCUCUCCCCCCCUCUUUCUCUCUUUCUCCAUCUUUUUCUCUCUCCCUUAAUCCCUCUAUCGCGUUUUUGCUGUAGUUAUUUCAACAAAACUGCAUUUGAUUUGAUUAUCACUGCAAGCCCCUUUGUACCAUGUUGGUUUUUGCACUCUGAGAUCAUUCCUACGAACCAUCAGGUCAUCUGUCCACUAGGAUGGACCCUGACAUUCUUCACCUGAUCAAGUUAUUCCAUUGCAAUAGUUUGGGGAGUAUCUUAGAGGGCUGGGUGUUGUUUGGUUUGAAACCAUCUUGAUCAUUCAGGAACCCAGUAGCAAUGAGAAAGUUCAAAAUAAGAUAGUGCUACGCAUUGAUUUUCAUAUAUGACAGACAUAUUUCUUCAACACAGAAGACUGACCUAAUGCUUCACUACAACAUGGCUGAAGUGGCAUCCUCUUCCCCAUAGGUUUUUCUGUUUACUUUUAGCUGCUUUCAUACCAGAUUAUUGAGCUGAACUAGCUCAAAAAGGAAUCAGAUAAGUGCCAGAGCUUUAAAACAAAACAAAAACCAAUAUCUCUAGAAUGAUAUUGCUUCAACGGUUUCAGUUUGUUUCCCCCCCCCCCUUCAAUUCUAAACGUUAUGCAUUCUUUUUGGCCAUUUCAGUAAAUAGAUUUUCUGAUUCGUGUGAAAGACUGUCUGAAGUCUCCCCCAUUUGCCUCACUACCUUUCCCAGGACAGACAUUGGGACCCUAAAGACCCUGAUGCGAAUUCUGGCCUGCCGGUGGUGGAUGAAUGCCGAAAAUCCUGAG